GGAGUUGUGGCUCAGUGGUAGAACACUUGCCUAGCAUGCAUGAGGCACUGGGUUCAAUCCCCAACACCA
rnacentral:tRNA from 1 species